AUGUUGUCUGUAGCUCUUCUGCUGCUGCUGGCAGCUGGAUCCUGUGUGAAGUGUGAGACACUGACACAGCCAGCCUCUGUGACUGUGCAGCCAGGACACACUCUCACCAUCUCCUGUACUGUCUCUUAUGAUGUUAGCACCUACGCUACUGCAUGGAUCAGACAGCCUGCUGGGAAAGGCCUGGAGUGGAUUGGAGAUGAAGGAGCAACUAAAGAUUCAUUUAAGCAAAAAUUCACAAUUAAUUUAGACACUUCCACAAAAACAUCUACUUUGAGCGGACAGAACAUGCAGCCUGGAGACACUGCAGUGUAUUACUGUGCCAGGCGACCACAGUCACACAAAGUAUAUGUAGAGCUGUACAAAAACACAUCAGACUGUUAUUCUCUGUGGCCAACACAGGAGGAGCUCUCAUACCACUAAUAUAAUAAUGCUUUGGGAUUUGUUUAACUGCAGCUGGACCUGUGGUAUCACCUUCCUCGUUUAAUAAUAGAUUGUUAAAUCCACAGAAUUGUAUAAUACAGUCAUACAUGUUACAAAGAACAUUUGUGUCACAGGGUGAAGGUUAUUUAAAAGUAGUAUUAUAACCCCUUGUUGCUGUGUCUGAUUAAAAUAAUAUUGAAUAAAAAUGUUGAAUGUGGGAGUAAUAAAAAGUAGGUGUCGACAAUAUAACCAAUAUAAAACUUAUCUACAAAUUAUAAAGUUUAAAAUGAGUGUGCAUUAAAAAGCUAAAACAUCCUGGGCCAAAGUGAAUCAAUAAAAACAACUAAAAGUGGUAAAUGUCCCAGUGUCCUCAUGCUCCUGUGUGCUCGGGUGACUGGACUUUGACAGCAGGACGGCACAACUGCGGCUGCUCUGAGACCGUCCCCAGGUGAGGUUCCACGGGUCAGUUAGCUCCUCCACCGAAACAUCACCACCUCGUUCUCCUACGCUAACCACAACACACAAAACCAGCACAUCCCCAACCAACAGAAACUUUGAGCCGCAAGUCUUUUAAUUAGAGCACCACUGCUAAAUACUAAUUACUUACUCCCAGGCGGAGCCUCAUGCUCUGCUGAUUCUGGUAUUCUGCAUCAUGGCGUCCUCUCCUAACAAGCCGUGUGUAGGUGCUCCUCCCGUGGUCGGCUUGGUUG